GAAAUAGACGUACCCGGUAGUCCACGCCGUAAACCGAUGAGUACUAGGUGUAGGGGGUAUCGACCCCCCCUGGUGCCGCAGUAAACACAAUAAGUACUCCGCCUGGGAAGUACGAUCGCAAGAUUAAAACUCAAAGGAAUUGACGGGGGCCCGCACAAGCAGCGGAGCAUGUGGUUUUAAUUCGAAGCAACGCGAAGAACCUUACCUAGACUUGACAUCUCCUGAAUUACUCGUAAUGGAGGAAGCCCUUCGGGGCAGGAAGACAGGUGGUGCAUGGUUGUCGUCAGCUCGUGUCGUGAGAUGUUAGGUUAAGUCCUGCAACGAGCGCAACCCUUAUCAUUAGUUGCUACCAGUAAGAUGAGCACUCUAGUGAGACUGCCGUGGUUAACGUGGAGGAAGGUGGGGAUGACGUCAAAUCAUCAUGCCCCUUAUGUCCAGGGCAACACACGUGCUACAAUGGGCAGAACAGAGAGAAGCAAUACCGCGAGGAGGAGCAAAUCUCAAAAACCUGCCCCCAGUUCGGAUUGCAGGCUGAAACCCCG
rnacentral:rRNA from 1 species